AGCGAACGCUGGCGGCAGGCUUAACACAUGCAAGUCGAGCGGGCCUUUCGGGGUCAGCGGCGGACGGGUGAGUAACGCGUGGGAACGUGCCCUCUGGUUCGGAAUAACUCAGGGAAACUUGAGCUAAUACCGGAUACGCCCUUUUGGGGAAAGGCUUGCUGCCGGAGGAUCGUCCCGCGUCAGAUUAGCUAGUUGGUGAGGUAACGGCUCACCAAGGCGACGAUCAGUAGCUGGUCUGAGAGGAUGAUCAGCCACACUGGGACUGAGACACGGCCCAGACUCCUACGGGAGGCAGCAGUGGGGAAUAUUGGACAAUGGGCGCAAGCCUGAUCCAGCCAUGCCGCGUGAGUGAUGAAGGCCUUAGGGUUGUAAAGCUCUUUUAUCCGGGACGAUAAUGACGGUACCGGAGGAAUAAGCCCCGGCUAACUUCGUG
rnacentral:rRNA from 1 species